AGUGAACGCUGGCGGUAGGCCUAACACAUGCAAGUCGAACGGCAGCACAGAGGAGCUUGCUCCUUGGGUGGCGAGUGGCGGACGGGUGAGGAAUACAUCGGAAUCUACUCUGUCGUGGGGGAUAACGUAGGGAAACUUACGCUAAUACCGCAUACGACCUACGGGUGAAAGCAGGGGAUCUUCGGACCUCGCGCGAUUGAAUGAGCCGAUGUCGGUUUAGCUAGUUGGCGGGGUAAAGGCCCACCAAGGCGACGAUCCGUAGCUGGUCUGAGAGGAUGAUCGGCCACACUGGAACUGAGACACGGUCCAGAGUCCUGCGGGAGGGAGCAGUGGGGAAUAUGGGACAAUGGGGGCAAGGCUGAUCCAGCCAUACCGCGUGGGUGAAGAAGGCCUUCAGGUUGUAAAGCCCUUUUGUUGGGAAAGAAAUCCAUCUGGUUAAUACCCGGGUGGGAUGACGGUACCCAAAGAAUAAGCACCGGCUAACUGCGUGCCAGCCGCCGCGGUAA
rnacentral:rRNA from 1 species